GCAUUUUUAGUAUAAGAGUAUAGUCGCCUUCCACGCGACAGGUCGAGAUAAUUCCUCGAAAAUGUA
rnacentral:tRNA from 1 species